AUCUCAAAAGUAUGUUUGUUACAUAUAAUAUGAAAUAACAUAAUCGUAAGUCAUUUAGUUUACCAGUUACAGUAGCACGGUCGAACAAAUGUACUGUCUUUACGUAUAAUGUGUGUUUAUACUGCCAUACGACCGCCCAUUAGUGUUUGUUUCAGUUUAUGAAUGAAAAUAAAAGUUCGAGUGAAAUCCUCCAAUAAAUGAAGGACACUGCAGCGGCGUCGCGUCGACGGCCGCGCAGCGGUUUGUGGGUGGCCACUGGCCGGCGCAGGCGCAGACAUGUGACACCCACGGCCGCAGGCCGCAUGCCUAUUCCGAUGCAGUCUGACAUUAGAUAUCAAGGUAAUCCAUCUCUUUAUCCAACCCUAUUACCAAGCGUGCUAAUCACUGGUAAAACCUCUCAAUAGGAGGAAGCCUCUGUUCAGCAGUGAAAAAUAAUUUUCCAAAUUGGUUUAUAAAUGACGGAGUUAUGAGGUAACAAACAUAAAGAAUAUAAUCGAAUUGGGAACUUUUUCGUUUUUUGAAGUUUGUUAAAAAUACAGAUGGAGAAUCUUUAUUUAUCGGCUAUUAAUAUUGACCAGGCACGUCCGAAAUUUGCUAAUUAGUUAAAAAUGACGCAAGUUAAAAUGUAUUCCAUCUCGAUAAGUCGCCGAGCCGUAUCGACAGCUGUCUGCCGUAAUAGGAGCUUUCGUGAGUCACCGCUUCACCAGUUGCGGGGUCAACGCACCGCCGCGCACUGCAAUGACUUUCGAGCUGCGUCCAGCUGACACGAAAUUCG
rnacentral:lncRNA from 1 species